GUGGCCAGCGGCCGGCCGCGGGGCCGUUUUGUCCUGAGGGCCAGAGAAAGGGAGAAGGGGGUGGGGGGACAGCCACGUGGCCGCAGGAGGAUUUACAACAUUUUCUUUCGCCAUCGACGAUAUCGCAAAGUGUGUGAGAGUGGCGGCGGCGCAGCCCGGACCGGAGCGUGAGGGCGCGGGCCAGGUAAGCAGCCCCGGCAGUUUCGCCGCGGACGGGACCCGGGGGCGACCGCGGGCACCGGCCACGCGCAGCGGUUCCGCGGGAUCUCGGCCGGGUCCGCGCUCUGAAGGGUCUCGAGAGCCAUGGGUGGUGCAGGUGGGGCCCUCGGGCCGAAGCAUCUCCGGUGACCCGGGGUUGCCGAGGAGGUGUAGACCAGCACAGGUGGUCCGGCCGGGGCGCCUCCGAAUCCGGGGGUGGUCAAGACGGAUCCCCAAGGCUGAGGUCGGCAGUCCCGGGGACUCGCAGCUGCUGAGCCUGUGGAGACGCGGACCCGUGACCGAGGCACCCUCCAGCAACCCAGGGGCAGCGUUUUCCCCCUACCGGAAAUCUGAUGGGCUUAUGACAUCAUGGCUGGCUGCUGAGCGAUGAAGUGGAUGCCACAAAGAAAUCCGACAUAUCAGAUAGAUUCUGAAACCGGUUUCCCUCCAGCUGUAGUAACAGGCGUGAAGUCAGGAGAAUUUGAGCUUUGUUUAAAAAAAAAAAAAAAAACAUAACAAA